rnacentral:misc_RNA from 1 species
GAUGAAGAACGCAGCGAAAUGCGAUAAGUAAUGUGAAUUGCAGAAUUCCGUGAAUCAUCGAGUCUUUGAACGCACAUUGCGCCCCCUGGUAUUCCGGGGGGCAUGCCUGUCCGAGCGUCAUUGCUGCCCUCAAGCACGGCUUGUGUGUUGGGCCCCGUCCUCCGAUCCCGGGGGACGGGCCCGAAAGGCAGCGGCGGCACCGCGUCCGGUCCUCGAGCGUAUGGGGCUUUGUCACCCGCUCUGUAGGCCCGGCCGGCGCUUGCCGAUCAACCCAAAUUUUUAUCCAGGUUGACCUCGGAUCAGGUAGGGAUACCCGCUGAACUUAAGCAUAUCAAAAGCGGAGGA